UGGGGAAUUUUGGACAAUGGGGGAAACCCUGAUCCAGCCAUCCCGCGUGUGCGAUGAAGGCCUUCGGGUUGUAAAGCACUUUUGGCAGGAAAGAAACGUCGCGGGUUAAUACCCCGCGAAACUGACGGUACCUGCAGAAUAAGCACCGGCUAACUACGUGCCAGCAGCCGCGGUAAUACGUAGGGUGCAAGCGUUAAUCGGAAUUACUGGGCGUAAAGCGUGCGCAGGCGGUUCGGAAAGAAAGAUGUGAAAUCCCAGAGCUUAACUUUGGAACUGCAUUUUUAAACUACCGGGCUAGAGUGUGUCAGAGGGAGGUGGAAUUCCGCGUGUAGCAGUGAAAUGCGUAGAUAUGCGGAGGAACACCGAUGGCGAAGGCAGCCUCCUGGGAUAACACUGACGCUCAUGCACGAAAAGCGUGGGGAGCAAAACAGGAUUAGAUACCCUGGUAGUCCAACGCCCUAAAACGAUGUCAAACUAGCUGUUGGGGCCUUCGGGCCUUGGUAGCGCAGCUAACGCGUGAAGUUGACCGCCUGGGGAGUACGGUCGCAAGAUUAAAAACUC
rnacentral:rRNA from 1 species